rnacentral:rRNA from 1 species
GCUGGCGGUAGGCUUAACACAUGCAAGUCGUGCGAGAAAGUAUCUUCGGAUAUGAGUAGAGCGGCGGACGGGUGAGUAACGCGUAGGAAUCUACCUAGUAGAAGGGGAUAGCCCGGGGAAACUCGGAUUAAUACCGUAUACCUCCUUAGGGAGAAAGAGGGCCUCUCUUGAUGCUCUCGCUAUUAGAUGAGCCUGCGUAAGAUUAGCUUGUUGGUGAGGUAAUGGCUCACCAAGGCUACGAUCUUUAGCUGGUCUGAGAGGACGAUCAGCCACAUUGGGACUGAGACACGGCCCAGACUCCUACGGGAGGCAGCAGUGGGGAAUAUUGGACAAUGGGCGCAAGCCUGAUCCAGCCAUACCGCGUGUGUGAAGAAGGCUCUAGGGUUGUAAAGCACUUUAAGCAGGGAGAAAAAGUUAUAAGUUAAUACCUUAUAACCGUGAUGUUACCUGCAGAAUAAGCACCGGCUAAUUCCGUGCCAGCAGCCGCGGUAAUACGGAAGGUGCAAGCGUUAAUCGGAAUUACUGGGCGUAAAGCGCGCGUAGGUGGUUUGUUAAGUUGGAUGUGAAAGCCCUGGGCUCAACCUAGGAACUGCAUCCAAAACUAACUCACUAGAGUACGAUAGAGGGAGGUAGAAUUCAUAGUGUAGCGGUGGAAUGCGUAGAUAUUAUGAAGAAUACCAGUGGCGAAGGCGGCCUCCUGGAUCUGUACUGACACUGAGGUGCGAAAGCGUGGGUAGCGAACAGGAUUAGAUACCCUGGUAGUCCACGCCGUAAACGAUGACAACUAGCUGUUGGGAGACAAUGUCUUUCAGUGGCGCAGCUAACGUUUUAAGUUGUCCGCCUGGGGAGUACG